rnacentral:rRNA from 1 species
UAGGGAAUCUUCGGCAAUGGACGAAAGUCUGACCGAGCAACGCCGCGUGAGUGAAGAAGGUUUUCGGAUCGUAAAACUCUGUUGUUAGAGAAGAACAAGGACGUUAGUAACUGAACGUCCCCUGACGGUAUCUAACCAGAAAGCCACGGCUAACUACGUGCCAGCAGCCGCGGUAAUACGAAGGUGGCAAGCGUUGUCCGGAUUUAUUGGGCGUAAAGCGAGCGCAGGCGGUUUCUUAAGUCUGAUGUGAAAGCCCCCGGCUCAACCGGGGAGGGUCAUUGGAAACUGGGAGACUUGAGUGCAGAAGAGGAGAGUGGAAUUCCAUGUGUAGCUGUGAACUGCGUAGAUAUAUGGAGGAACAGCAGUGGCGAAGGCGGCUCUCUGGACUGUAACUGACGCUGAGGCUAGAAAGCGUGGGGAGCAAACAGG